GAUGAACGCUGGCGGCGUGCCUAAUACAUGCAAGUCGAGCGAACAGACGAGGAGCUUGCUCCUCUGACGUUAGCGGCGGACGGGUGAGUAACACGUGGAUAACCUACCUAUAUGACUGGGAUAACUUCGGGAAACCGGAGCUAAUACCGGAUAAUAUAUUGAACCGCAUGGUUCAAUAGUGAAAGACGGUUUUGCUGUCUCUUAUAGAUGGAUCCGCGCCGCAUUAGCUAGUUGGUAAGGUAACGGCUUACCAAGGCAACGAUGCGUAGCCGACCUGAGAGGGUGAUCGGCCACACUGGAACUGAGACACGGUCCAGACUCCUACGGGAGGCAGCAGUAGGGAAUCUUCCGCAAUGGGCGAAAGCCUGACGGAGCAACGCCGCGUGAGUGAUGAAGGUCUUCGGAUCGUAAAGCUCUGUUAUUAGGGAAGAACAAAUGUGUAAGUAACUAUGCACGUCUUGACGGUACCUAAUCAGAAAGCAACGGCUAACUACGUG
rnacentral:rRNA from 1 species